rnacentral:ncRNA from 3 species
UACGAAGGGGGCUAGCGUUGCUCGGAAUCACUGGGCGUAAAGCGCACGUAGGCGGCUUUCUAAGUCAGGGGUGAAAUCCCGGGGCUCAACCCCGGAACUGCCUUUGAUACUGGAGAGCUUGAGUUCGGGAGAGGUGAGUGGAACUGCGAGUGUAGAGGUGAAAUUCGUAGAUAUUCGCAAGAACACCAGUGGCGAAGGCGGCUCACUGGCCCGAUACUGACGCUGAGGUGCGAAAGCGUGGGGAGCAAACAGG